rnacentral:rRNA from 1 species
GAUGAACGCUGGCGGCGUGCCUAAUACAUGCCAGUCGAGCGAACAGACGAGGAGCUUGCUCCUCUGACGUUAGCGGCGGACGGGUGAGUAACACGUGGAUAACCUACCUAUAAGACUGGGAUAACUUCGGGAAACCGGAGCUAAUACCGGAUAAUAUAUUGAACCGCAUGGUUCAAUAGUGAAAGACGGUUUUGCUGUCACUUAUAGAUGGAUCCGCGCCGCAUUAGCUAGUUGGUAAGGUAACGGCUUACCAAGGCAACGAUGCGUAGCCGACCUGAGAGGGUGAUCGGCCACACUGGAGCGGAGACACGGUCCAGACUCCUACGGGAGGCAGCAGUAGGGAAUCUGCCGCAAUGGGCGAAAGCCUGACGGAGCAACGCCGCGUGAGUGAUGAAGGUCUUCGGAUCGUAAAACUCUGUUAUUAGGGAAGAACAAAUGUGUAAGUAACUAUGCACGUCUUGACGGUACCUAAUCAGAAAGCCACGGCUAACUACGUG